GACAGUGUGCCUCCAUUAAAGUCAGGAAAAAGGAACUGUGGCAACUACAGAGCAAGAGCGCCGUGUGCCACGUCCCUGGGCUCAAUGAUGAUAUGUUACCUCACGGGCUCCGGCUCCCACGCUGGCUGCUCUGUUGAGGGCUUCGCUCCUGUGCCACUCAUGUAAAAAGGGGGAGGAUGUCUACAGAGUGCACAUUAAUAUGCGGCACAUAACCACGUCUCUGAAUGCCAGCCUUCCAUUCUUCAUUAAACAAAAUGGCUGGAUUGCGGGGAUUGUUUUCCUCUCUGCACACGCGCGCGCGCGCACACACACUAGGCAUGCCGGCACAACCCACACACCCCCACACGCACUCAGCUUUUUCCCUUGCUUUCCCUCACACGCACAAACACGCUUUUCCUCAUGCACCUGAGCACACGCGCAUGCACAAAUACGACCUUCCUGGCUGUCAUAGCGCAUCGCUAUCGGCAGUGUGAGUUACGUGCGAAAAGUUGUCUGCGGCACGCGUGACAUGCAAGGAGAUUCCUGCCGACGUCAGGCCCUUUUUUGCCAUGCAGCAACAAGUGGCAGAAUCAAUGGUGUACAGUUAUUCAGCAGUGUAAUUCAUUUCACUGGCUUUGGCUUCUAGCCAGAUCCGCCAUCUGUCUCUUGCUCUCCCUCUCUCUCUCUCGCCUGAAUUUGUCCUACAUUUCGUAAUGUUACGUGCUUGCCAUCCUUAUUCUAUGUCAGAGGUGCAGCACAAGUCUCGCCCCUGUUCCAGCAUGGAGUUGUUCAAGUUCGGUGGCACUUUGGAUAUUCCAUUUCAGUGCCACGGCAAGAAAAGGGUAAGCAGAAAGGAGGAGAGGAGUAGCUGCAAAGAAUGGUGCUCUUGUAUCCGAAAGCCAGAGCCUCGGCUUUCUAUUUAAGGCAUUGAUAUGGAUCUAUCUCACAUGGGAACUUUUCCUGCUUCGUUAGAGUAUCUUCGUUUGCUUUAUUGGAUGCCGGCACUGAAUGCCACUGCACAGCUUCGUGGAAUGCCUGCUGUUGGAUGCUUGCAGAUCCCUGCCACCAAGCAACCUCCUGCAUUGGAAAUCGGGUGACUACUCCAGGAUCUUAUGCGUGCUUGCUGUUUGAAGCUGCAGAAAAGUGAAUAAUCAAUUAAGUAUUGAUUUCUUGUAAGAUUUGGUAAAUUUCAAAGGGAAGACAAAGAGGAUGGCUUAAGGAAAGCACUGCAGGGACUUGGCGUAAAUUAGAAAACUAACAGCAGUGCAGAAUAAAAUAACACCUCAACUGAAUAUUUCCUUGGAAGAAUUAGCACCAGCUAUUGGAAGACGAUGGUGGAUUUAAUCAAGACGGCAGGCAUGCUUGAGUUUUAACCGUGAACCUGAAAGUGGAGCUAAUUAUAACCACCUUUUUAUAUGGAGCUAAUUUGACUGAAUGGAUGCAAAUGUGCUUUAUUUAUGGAUGAAGAAGCAAGCUUUACAGCGUUGACUUUGGGAUCAUCGCAUAUGCUAAGCUUUACAGCUUGCCUAAAAGUCAAGCCUACAGUACAUUUUUAUUUACCGAGAAGGUAUUUAUAUGUAAGCAUAAGCUUGCCGUACGAAAGAUUCAUCAGAACAAUGUACUGUGACACUGAGUAUCUAAUUAUAAUUUUGCAGCAUUUCAUGUUUUCUCUAAUUUGAUGCUUUUCAACCCUUGCUUGUGCUGGGCUAUAAAUGGGACAAUAAAUGUAUGCUUUAAACUAUUGUGAUUUUGAUUGUGUAGUUUAUUAAUCGUACUGUAGUUUUCUUAACGUGUUUCUGAAUUAUUCAGCAGUAAUUUAUAAUGAAAGAAGCAGCACUGGUGGGGUGGUUUUGAAUUCAUUUAUAAUCUUCUUACAGAUCUAAAUGUACAGGUUCUACCAGCCAAUGAGCUCUAUAAUUACGAAAGAAUGUUGAAAUUUUCAGAUAAAUGGGGCACUGACUUUACAAUGGGCACAAUAUUGUAUAAUCAGUAAAAGGAGGAUUGUUGUGUUUUGACUCUGUGGAGACUGUUCUUGGUUAGUUAACUCCUUCUCUGCUGAUAAUGGUAAGCAAAUGUACCUUAAACGAGAAAACGGGAGAAGAACAUACUGUAUUAGCUUGAUGUUUUCUUAGUCUGAGACCUUAGGAUAUUUUUUUCUAUUUAUUUCUAUUUCUGUUACUUUUCCCCAUUUGAUUUUCUGUUUUUUUGUCUCUUUUUUUCCCUUCUGUCUUGCAAUCUACAUUCCCUGAGCAACCACAGGAACCAAGUUACAUUAAGCUUCAACACAAAGACGAUGUAAGAAUAAUGAAUCCUCAUUUGCAUCGACAUUUGUAUUCAGAUUUGCCAGGCUAUAAACUUGGCAGAUCAAGCGGAAUAUUAAGUAGAGGCUUCCAUGGUAAAUUGCGACUCUUGCAAUUGCCGAGUCGUUUUUUCCUAUUAUUUCUGUGCCUGUGUGCAUGUGUGUGUGUCUGUGUGUAUUUGUGUGUACAUGUGUAUAUAUGUGCAUGUAUGUGCAUAUCUGUAGAGGCAGGUAUUCUCUCAUGAGUACAUGAUUUCUGAGAAGCACGUUGGCCCUCUUUCUCUUGCAGUACCUGAUAUUGGUUUGAAGCAAAAUGAAGCAGGGAUUUGCUAGCAAUAAGCAUGUUAGCUGAAGAUAUAUUGUGACUUAUAAAUAAAGUAUGAACUCCUGUGUCUAGA